AAGAACCUGAAAAACAUAAAACCACAACUGUAAGCCCGAAAGCUUAGUGAGAUAUCCCCAAAAUACCAACCACAUAUACCAUACACGCAUAACAUCCCAUAACAUAUCCGAUCACAGAACAGCCAUGCACUUUGGGUCUACUGUGUGACUGGUCUGCCGCACCGGCCAACAGUCCACCUGGUCCACCCUCCGAGUCUAGCCAUAUACCUCGAGUCUGCAGUGUGAUUGGUCCACCCGCACCGGGCCUUCAAUCCACCUGGUCCACUCUCCGAAUCUAGUCACAUACAUCGAGUCUGCAAUGUGAUUGGUCCGCCCGCACCGGGCCUUCAAUCCACCUGGUCCACUCUCUGAGUCUACAGUAUGACUGGUCCGCCCGCACCGGGCCUUCAGUCGGCCUGGUCCACUCUCCGAGCCUCGGCACGUCU
rnacentral:lncRNA from 1 species